GAUGAACGCUAGCGACAGGCCUAACACAUGCAAGUCGAGGGGCAGCACAUGAGUAGCAAUACGAUGGUGGCGACCGGCGCGACGGGUGAAGUAACACGUAUGCAACCUGCCUGUAAGAGGGAAUAACCCGGAGAAAUUCGGACUAAUACCGCAUAAUACCACGAGACUGCAUGGUUUUGUGGUUAAACAUUUAUGGCUUACAGAUGGGCAUGCGUAUGAUUAGAUAGUUGGUAGGGUAACGGCCUACCAAGUCUACGAUCAUUAGGGGUUCUGAGAGGAAGGUCCCCCCACACUGGUACUGAGACACGGACCAGACUCCUACGGGAGGCAGCAGUGAGGAAUAUUGGUCAAUGGGCGAGAGCCUGAACCAGCCAAGUCGCGUGAAGGAAGAAGGUUCUAUGGAUUGUAAACUUCUUUUGCAGGGGAAUAAAGGACGGUACGUGUACUGUUUUGUAUGUACCUUGCGAAUAAGGAUCGGCUAACUCCGUG
rnacentral:rRNA from 1 species